UGAGUAACCUGCCCUUAACUCUGGGAUAAGCCUGGGAAACGAGGUCUAAUACCGGAUAUGACUCCUCAUCGCAUGGUGGGGGGUGGAAAGCUUUAUUGUGGUUUUGGAUGGACUCGCGGCCUAUCAGCUUGUUGGUGUGGGUAAUGGCCCACCAAGGCGACGACGGGUAGCCGGCCUGAGAGGGUGACCGGCCACACUGGGACUGAGACACGGCCCAGACUCCUACAGGAGGCAG
rnacentral:rRNA from 1 species